rnacentral:rRNA from 1 species
CCCUUAGAUGUUCUGGGCCGCACGCGCGCUACACUGAUGCAUUCAACGAGUCUAAAACCUGGUCUGAUAGGGCUGGGUAAUCUUUUGAAUGUGCAUCGUGAUUGGGAUAGAUGAUUGCAGUUCUUCAUCUUCAACGAGGAAUGCCUAGUAAACGCAAGUCAUCAGCUUGCAUUGAUUACGUCCCUGCCCUUUGUACACACCGCCCGUCGCUCCUACCGAUUGAAUGUUCCGAUGAAUACCAUGGACUGAGAGUAUGAAUGGGUUCGCCUAUUUCUGCUUCUCGGGAAGUGGAGUAAAUCUUAACAUUUAGAGGAAGGAGAAGUCGUAACA